AUGAACGCUGGCGGCGUGCCUAAUACAUGCAAGUCGAGCGAACAGACGAGGAGCUUGCUCCUCUGACGUUAGCGGCGGACGGGUGAGUAACACGUGGAUAACCUACCUAUAAGACUGGGAUAACUUCGGGAAACCGGAGCUAAUACCGGAUAAUAUAUUGAACCGCAUGGUUCAAUAGUGAAAGACGGUUUUGCUGUCACUUAUAGAUGGAUCCGCGCCGCAUUAGCUAGUUGGUAAGGUAACGGCUUACCAAGGCGACGAUGCGUAGCCGACCUGAGAGGGGGGACGGACAAACCUGAAAUGAGAAACGGUCCAGACUCCUACGGGAGGCAGCAGUAGGGAAUCUUCCGCAAUGGGCGAAAGCCUGACGGAGCAACGCCGCGUGAGUGAUGAAGGUCUUCGGAUCGUAAAACUCUGUUAUUAGGGAAGAACAAAUGUGUAAGUAACUAUGCACGUCUUGACGGUACCUAAUCAGAAAGCCACGGCUAACUACGUG
rnacentral:rRNA from 1 species